UGUAAACUUGUACUCUAAUUGAUGUUGUCCUUAAAUGUCUGUUUAUUAAUCUACUUUUAGUUUUUGGGUAAAAUUAGAGAUUUUGUUAAUUAUUGUUUGAGGACAAAAAAUUUAGUGAACGAGCCAGAUUAGUACCUGGUUAGAUAAAAGUUAAAAGAGCAGGAGUAAGGUUGUAUUUAAACUGUAAGAAUAUUGGCAGGUUUUUAAAUUAUCUUUGGAGGUUGAAUAGUAAUUGAGAGCCCUCAUUAUCUACUUUUAUUUUAGGCGCAUGUAUGAUCGUUUAUUUUAUUCUUGAGGAUUGUAAUUUUAGUUUAUAGCUGUAAAAAUAGAUAUAUACUUGGUCUAUAUUAAAGUUUAUUUUGACCUACAAUAUUAUAUGUUAUGGAUAAUAUUUGUAGUAAAUAUUUGAAAUUGUAAAAGACAGUAAAAUCUUUUUAAUGUGGAUUUGAAGUUUAUUUAAAAACGGUACAAAUCAUCCAUCAAUUGCCCAUAGG
rnacentral:ncRNA from 1 species